UACGUAGGUGGCGAGCGUUGUCCGGAAUUACUGGGUGUAAAGGGAGCGUAGGCGGGAAGGCAAGUCGAAUGUAUAACCUAUGGGCUCAACCCAUAGUCGCGUUCGAAACUGCUUUUCUUGAGUGAAGUAGAGGCAGGCGGAAUUCCUAGUGUAGCGGUGAAAUGCGUAGAUAUUAGGAGGAACACCAGUGGCGAAGGCGGCCUGCUGGGCUUUUACUGACGCUGAGGCUCGAAAGUGUGGGGAGCAAACAGGAUUAGAUACCCUGGUAGUCCACACCGUAAACGAUGAUUACUAGGUGUGGGGGGACUGACCCCUUCCGUGCCGGAGUUAACACAAUAAGUAAUCCACCUGGGGAGUACGGCCGCAAGGUUGAA
rnacentral:rRNA from 1 species